UACGGAGGGGGCUAGCGUUGUUCGGAAUUACUGGGCGUAAAGCGCACGUAGGCGGCUUUGUAAGUUAGAGGUGAAAGCCCGGGGCUCAACUCCGGAAUUGCCUUUAAGACUGCAUCGCUAGAAUUGUGGAGAGGUAAGUGGAAUUCCGCGUGUAGCAGUGAAAUGCGUAGAGAUGCGGAGGAACACCGAUGGCGAAGGCAGCCCCCUGGGCUAACACUGACGCUCAGGCACGAAAGCGUGGGGAGCAAACAGG
rnacentral:rRNA from 1 species